rnacentral:tRNA from 1 species
GCAGGCAUAGCCAAGUGGUAAGGCAAGAGGCUGCAGACCUCUGAUCCUGGGUUCGAAUCCCAGUGCCUGCU